rnacentral:lncRNA from 1 species
AAAAAACAUGGCAUCAGGAAGCAUGGUAGAAAGCAACAAAUUUGAAGGAUUCAAAGCAAGCAAUGUCAUAGUCGAAUCUACUAUGCGUGCCCGAAUGGAAAAUACAAUUUCUUGGGAUGGUGUAAAGUUAUAAAUGAAGAAAAAUCAUCAGCAACUAUUCAAACACAGCUGCCAAAUAAUUUCAUUAUGCAUGAUCAGUCUAUAAUUGAAA